AUUUUUUUAAAUCUUUUUUUUUUAAUAGAUUGUGUAUAGUAUAUUCAUGCACACUUUUUUCGGAACACAUUAGUUUUAUACCGUAAACAUCCAAAUAUAAGCCCCCCCCCCCCGUGUAUAAGCCCACCAUACUCACUGACACUCAGACCAUUCCGAAUUUAAUCUCAUAAGCCCCCAUGGGCUUAUUGUUUAUAUUUCUUUUCGUUCAAGAUGUAGUUUUCAGGUACAAUAAACAUUAUUACUAACACAAAAAGGCGUCCGUAUUUAAUGUAAGCCCCAAAUAUAAGCCCAGGGCUUAUAUUCGGAGAUUUACGAUAUUGUGUCAAACCAAUUUGGGCAAGGUCUUGAUUACCCUCGCUGACUUGACAUUCGCAGAGUAAGGUGUCACUCCAGUGCAUGCUACCUCCAACAACUUCUCUUUUUUCC